rnacentral:lncRNA from 1 species
CUCUCUAUUUAUUUUUAUUGAUUUAUAUCCUAUUAACAAUAGUUUUAUCGUGAGAUGCCAUUUUUGCCGGUAUCAACGAGAGCAGUAAAGAUCCCCUCUACGAUGUGAAUACGUUAUAAUUCAGUUCAUAGUUUACAAUUUGCAAUAUACAGUAUUCAGUUUACAGUUUCACAAUACUUAUCACUUCGCGAUGUCUAGCUAAAGUCG